rnacentral:misc_RNA from 1 species
UCUAAUUCCAACUUUAUCUGCUCCUAUCUCGUUGGCUACAGCUUCAACUAUUUCCAAAGCGAAACGGCAGCGGUUCUCCAGAGAUCCACCAUAUUGAUCUGUACGAUCAUUCACCUGAUCUUUCAUAAACUGAUCAAUUAGGUAACCAUGAGCCCCAUGGAUCUCAACCCCAUCAAAACCAGCUUCCAUAGCAUUCCUUGCAGCAAUUCUAAAAUCAUUCACAACUUGCGGAAUUUCAUCUGUUCGUAGUCGCCUCGGAGGUGUGAACUGUGCAACAUCAAUGCCAUUAGCUCGAAUUUGAGGGGCGGGGCCAAAGGCUUGUCUGUAGGAGGAGAUUGGAGCUUGCCCAUUUGGCUGAAAACCUGAAUUUGAAACUCUUCCAACAUGCCAAAUUUGCAAGAAGAAUAUACCCCCUUUGGCAUGAACAGCAUCUACAAUGGGUUUCCACGCCUCAACUUGUUCUUUGGUCCAAAUACCAGGAGUAUCGGUAUACCCUUGAGCAGUGUCAGAAACUCCCGUUGCUUCAGCUAUAAGAAGACCCCCUUUGGUGGUUCUUUGAGAGUAAUACAAGAUGGCAUGUGGCUGAGGAACGUUGUUGUAAGAUCUCUGCCUGGUUAAUGGUGCUAGAACAAUUCUGUGAGAAAGGUCGAACUUCCCCAACUUGUAUGGUGUGAGAAGAGGAAUAGUGUGGGAUUGAGCAGACAUGUUAGUAUUGUUCGAGUUCUACUUGCUUAACUUUAGUUUUCGAAGCCAAUGGAAUAUAGAAUGGAGAAGGCGAGCAGGGGAAGUGGGCAUAUUUAAAGAAUCAAAUCAGAGAACAGACAAGCCUGUGAUGGCUUCACGAUGUAAAAAGCACAUGAAAGUUCA